rnacentral:rRNA from 1 species
UACGGGGGGGGCAAGCGUUGUUCGGAAUUACUGGGCGUAAAGGGUCUGUAGGUGGCUUGCUAAGUCAGACGUGAAAUCCCUCGGCUUAACCGGGGAACUGCGUCUGAUACUGGCGAGCUUGAGUGCAGGAGAGGAACGCGGAAUUCCAGGUGUAGCGGUGAAAUGCGUAGAUAUCUGGAGGAACACCGGUGGCGAAGGCGGCGUCUGGACUGCAACUGACACUGAGAGACGAAAGCCAGGGGAGCAAACGGG